UACGGGGGGGGCAAGCGUUGUUCGGAAUUACUGGGCGUAAAGGGCUCGUAGGCGGCCAACUAAGUCAGACGUGAAAUCCCCAGGCUCAACCUGGGAACUGCGUCUGAUACUGGAUGGCUUGAAUCCGGGAGAGGGAUGCAGAAUUCCAGGUGUAGCGGUGAAAUGCUUAGAUAUCUGGAGGAACACCAGUGGCGAAGGCGGUGUUCUGGGCCUGUACUGACGCUGAUGCGCGAAAGCGUGGGGAGCGAACAGG
rnacentral:rRNA from 1 species